AGCCGAGGCGGGGACCAGCGGCCUCACCCCGUCCUCACCUACGCAACAUCAGGAUCCAGCUAGGCGUCGCCAGGUAGCGAGAGGACGUCGCGGAAGACCCAAGAGGAGACGCUGUUGAAGAUUUAAACAAAAAGCAACAUCGCUGAAAACACAAAUCAACAAAUACAAGGUUCUAUACUAGCUAAGAUCUCCAUACCCAACUGUUCAUCCAGUUGUAUAUCUUGAAACAAAUUCUUCCUCCAUCCUGGUUUCUCGUGCUGUUUCCUGUAGUUCCUCCAUCUCAUCAUCCGGAUCGGUUGUGGCCGCAUCGGGACUCUGACGACCACUGACUUGACCCAUCGUGGAUAGACAGAAGAGAAUCCUGCCUACCUAGGGUCCCUCCAGGAGAAAAAUCGCUCGCUGACGGAGAAAUCUCUUCCAUCUAACGACGUUGGCGCUCGGCCAAGGUGUUAAAACAGUCAGUAGAACUCCAAAAAAAACUAAAACAAACUCACCAAAACGGGCUGUAGAAACCUUAAAAUGUCCAAUAGAGGCAAUAAAACUUCCAGUAAACAUCCAAGCACUCCAAAUUUCCAAAGUCCAAAAACUUCCGAGAAAGUCGGCAAAAAGAUGAAAAAUCACUAAAAACACAAAAAAUUGCUAUAACAAGAACUGUGUGUCAAAAUUUGUAGAUAUAUUAAGUGUGCCUAAUCAAGUACAUUUCCUUCACAGAUGCAGGAGCGAUCACAUGUAUAUGCCAGUGCCAGAAUCAGAGGAGGAGGAGCGAUAAUCACCAACACCGACCAGGUCGAAAUUCCUACCUGCGACCCAAACCCAUGAAGAUAUUUAUUUAUAUUUCAAUUUAGGCCUUAUACAAACUUAAUAAAGUAUCGACACAACAUAAAAAGUAAUCACAAAAUAAUCCCGACAAUAUAUAAUUAUUACAUGAUCUUAUUAAACCACAUCCAUAUUUGUUGGGCCAGACAGCAAUCAAAGAAUAAAUGAAUCAUAGUUUCUCUAUUACCACAUCUUAAGCAACGGGCAUCUCGACCGUGAUGCCUCUUCCUCUCCCUCUUCUUCCUCCGCCGGUUCAUGUUGCAUCAAAUCCAUUGAUUCUUCCAGACCGGGAGCAACCGCGUCGGGACUACGGCGGAAACUACAACUAGCCGACGACCCAUCGUGGAUGGAAGGAGACCUUCCCCUUCCACCUAGGGCCUCCAUAGAGGAGAAUUUUCUAACUAAUGGAGUGCUUACUUCCAUCCAUUAACUUCUUAAGUAUAACUAACUCAAUACAAGUCUACUAGAAGAGAAACUUCUCGAAGCCACGCCUUCCCACGGGAGCUGUUCAGGUGAGUAUCACCAGAAAAGUCAAAAAAAUAAAGUUUCUUAGCUUUAAACUUAUUGUAGUUUAUUCCUUUCGGUUCUAAAGUCACUCUAUUCUAUUUUACAUCAAAAACAGCUACUCACAUUGUCUCUUUAUCGCUCUAGACACACUCAAUAUCGUUGACACUCCAAGAUCACUUUAUGGCAAUUUCUCGAAAAAUAAUUUAAUUUUCGCUAAAUUUCGACGGGAUGUUGUUCUCCUACUCCUCCGAUAACCAAAUAACACAAAUUUAGUAGAAAUAAACGCUGUAGAAGCUCACAAAUGAUGAACAGUAACUACUCACAAAAGUUCACCACCACCCUGGUGAUAAAAACAAAUACUUUUUAAUUAAAGUUUAUUUAAAAUACUUCAACAGUAGUUACAUAUUCCAGCACUUAGGCUGUAUUUUUACAAUCUUUUAUAAUUCUUACAAUAUAUUGGUUUCAGAUAAAUACACAGGCAAGUGUUGAUAUUCACAGAACUACUACCGACAAUUUGAAACGCGUAUAUACAGGGAGUGUUUAUACAAAAAAUGUACAGAAGUAAUUGUCGGAUAGAGUGUAACGAUGAUGAGAAAACAUCUAACAUGCGAGUUGCAUUAAAGAAAUGGAUAUAUUGAUAAAUUCAUUGUACAAUAGUGUUGAAAAGUAACAAAAAGAGAAAGCGCGACAAUUGAUUU